rfam:Bombyx mori DNA, contig: Bm_scaf63_contig29461, strain: p50T/Dazao, build 2, whole genome shotgun sequence.
GUCGGGUAUGGAGAUAUGGCGCCCAAGACUUACCUCGGGAUGUUUGUGGGCGCUCUCUGCGCUUUGGCUGGAGUGCUCACUAUCGCGCUGCCCGUUCCCGUGAUAGUAUCCAAC